rnacentral:rRNA from 1 species
AGGACGAACGCUGGCGGCGUGCUUAACACAUGCAAGUCGAGCGGAAAGGCCCUUCGGGGUACUCGAGCGGCGAACGGGUGAGUAACACGUGAGCAAUCUGCCCUUAGCUUCGGGAUAGCCCCGGGAAACCGGGAUUAAUACCGAAUACGACCUCGGCCGACAUCGGCUUUGGUGGAAAGUUUUUCGGCUAGGGAUGAACUCGCGGCCUAUCAGCUUGUUGGUGGGGUAAUGGCCUACCAAGGCGACGACGGGUAGCCGGCCUGAGAGGGCGACCGGCCACACUGGGACUGAGACACGGCCCAGACUCCUACGGGAGGCAGCAGUGGGGAAUAUUGCGCAAUGGGCGAAAGCCUGACGCAGCGACGCCGCGUGGGGGAUGAAGGCCUUCGGGUUGUAAACCCCUUUCAGCAGGGACGAAGCGAGAGUGACGGUACUGCAGAAGAAGCGCCGGCUAACUACGCGCCAGCAGCCGC